rnacentral:SRP_RNA from 1 species
GCUGGGCGUGGUGGCGCAUGCCUGUAAUCCCAGCUACUCAGGAGGCUGAGGCAGGAGAAUCACUUGAACCUGGGAGGUGGAGGUUGCAGUGAGCCGAGAUUGCGCCACUGCACUCCAGCCUGGGCAACAGAGCGAGACUCUGUCUCAA